rnacentral:ncRNA from 1 species
AAAAAAUCUUUUAAAUCAUAAACCUUUUUGUGAGAUUUUUCAAUUUAGUUUUUCUAACCGAAAUUUUCAACAGAUUGAUAUUUAUUACAUUGAUAUUUUCAAACCAUUGGAGGGCAAGUCUUUGCCAGCAGCCGCGGUAAUUCCAGCUUCAAUAGCGUAUAUUUAAGUUGUUGCAGUUAAAAAGCUCGUAGUUGAACUUUGGGAUAGGUCGGCUGGUCCGCCUUUUGGUGUGCGCUGAAUGUCUUGGAGCUGGUGAAUGGUGAAACGAAGGUUAGAAGAUUUUUUUUAAAAAUGGACUAACCGAGCAAGGAAGAAUAAGAUGACUUUAGAAUAAAUCGGGUUCCGAUCUUUC